GGGCAAGAUGUUGGCAUAGCUGU
rnacentral:ncRNA from 2 species